AGUCCUACGGGACGCAGCAGUGGGGAAUAUUGCACAAUGGGGGAAACCCUGAUGCAGCGACGCCGCGUGAGUGAAGAAGUAUUUCGGUAUGUAAAGAUCUAUCAGCAGGGAAGAUAAUGACGGUACCUGGCUAAGAAGCCCCGGCUAACUACGUGCCAGCAGCCGCGGUAAUACGUAGGGGGCAAGCGUUAUCCGGAUUUACUGGGUGUAAAGGGUGCGUAGGUGGCAGGGCAAGUCUGAUGUGAAAGCCCGGGGCUCAUCCCCG
rnacentral:rRNA from 1 species